GGUAAACGCUGGCGGCGUGCCUAAAACAUGCAAGUCGAACGGCAGUUUUCGGACUGCAGUGGCAGACGGCUGAGUAACGCGUGGGUGACGUACCUAUCGAUGGGGAAUAACUGCCCGAAAGGGUGGCUAAUUCCGCAUACGUCCUGUGGUUCGUUUCUGCAGGGGAAAGCUUCGCAAGAGGCGUCGAUGGAGCGGCCCGCGUUCGAUUAGCUGGUUGGUGGGGUAACGGCCUACCAAGGCGACGAUCGAUAGCUGGUCUCAGAGGAUGAUCAGCCAGACUGGGACUGAGACACGGCCCAGACUCCUACGGGAGGCAGCAGUUAGGAAUUUUGGGCAAUGGGCGAAAGCCUGACCCAGCAACGCCGCGUGGGUGACGAA
rnacentral:rRNA from 1 species